UGGAGUGUAGCUCAGUGACAGAGCUCUUGUCUAGCAUGCACAAGGCCCUGGGUUCUAGCCCUAGUACUACAA
rnacentral:tRNA from 1 species